UGUCAUCAAACAAGCAAGCAACCGAGUCUCUCUCUCUCUCUCUCUCUCUCUCUUUUCUUGCAUAUUACAAAAGGCUCCUCUGUUUUUCUUGCAUAUUACUGACUGCUUGUUAUUCAUCAUGACACGUUUACAAUACUUUACAUCUACAUAUCCUUUGUGGAUUUACAAAUUGGAGUCUCUGUAUUCCCCUUCAAUAUGUAAGAAAGUGUAUGUACUGCUAGCUCCGUGAAGGCGUGAAAUACAAUGUAUAUGGUUAUGGAGUUCUUCUUUUACAAAUCCUAAGUGGCAAAAGAUCUUCAUGCUAUUAUAUACGGCCCCAACAAAAGUUUGAACCUUUUAGCAUGUGUAACUUUAAUUUAGGUUCCCUUUUCUUCGAUCCUGAAUCAGCACUUAAUUACACAACUGGUGCCACUAUAGCUGCAUACACUGUCAUGUCACAUGUAUGAUUGAAGAAGAUAUUGAAAGUAUUUUUCAUUCUCCAAUUAACUAAGAAUGCUAAUCAGCCAGUCAUCUUCAAGCUAUGCCGAGGAGAUUUCCCCGAUUGCUUUGAUAAUACAAAACAGAGAUGGUGGCAGUGAACAAAUUAAGCCGAUGCUUACUGGAACCUACCCUUGGGAGGGUCGGGGACAAUCAGACAACUUGCUUGUAUGUCUCAUCAGCGUUCUUUCAUUUAACAAUUAAUAGAGAAUAAUUGUACUGCAGAUUUUAAUUUAGCAUCUCACGAGUCAGUGUGUAGGUCAUAAUUAGCUCACUUUUACCCCCAAGGCCCUUUCGAUUUUUGAACAGGUGAGUUUGAUUAUUUCUAUGACUGCAUAAUUUCCAUUUUCCUGAGAUUCCAAUCCAUGAAGCAAGUGUUUCAACAAAGAAAAAGGCGCAAAAUUCUUAGAAACUACUGAAUAAUCAACAAAGAAAAAUUGCUUUGACUACAUCUUUCACACUACGUGGGCUGUGACCAAUUAUGGUAUGUGGGCAAGACAUACAAAAGCUUUUCACACUACGUGGCAAAGACCAAAGAGAAUUCUCUCUCGUCCCCAAUCAGCAGAAAGCUGGCAGCCCAUUGUCGAUUUAAGCCACAUAAAUUCAAUGAAGAGUCAAACAUCUCAAUUUUAGCUGAAAAGGGGUAACAUUUCAAUUCAAGUCAAUACAUUAUGUAAGAUCAAAAGAAGCAGAUGUCUCCGAGAAAACGAAUGAGUUGUUGUAUUUAAUUGUGUUGCCACGGGCUGCAAACACAGUCAUCCGUAUGAACAUGGACCAUGUGGUCGUUACGCACUGCCUGGUUCAGGCGAUCCGCAAUACUUCAGUGUUCUUUUUCUGGUCCGGAGUUGCUCCCGUCCGCUUGACCCUUAGAUUCAGUGGACCGUGAUGGUCCCACGACCAUCAUUACCUCCUAACUCAAUGACUCCAUCUUCGCUCGAGUCGAUUGGGUUCCAUUUAGAAUUGAGUAGUCCUAUUCACACAUUAAAUUAUUACUAUACUGAAUCUUGGAUUAUAUUUUAAACACCUUUUAAAAUUAAUUUCUACACUAAGCAUCUUUCUACUUAUUUUUAAAAAUCGUUUGCUUAGAUAUAAAAAAAAAUGAUAUUGCGAAUUGCCAACUAAUUCAAUUGCUUAAAUUUAUUGAUUAUUGGGUGAGAAUAAUAUAGGUGUAGAGUUUGAACUCUACUCUACUCAUAUGAAUAGGAUAGGAAAAGAAUUGAGUUAACGCCAUUAGCCAUAACUGAAAAUAUGGAAUAUGGAAUAUUCUCUCUUAACCCCCGUGCUCUUAUCUAAACACCAUGUCUUUUCUACUUUUUCUUGAGAUGAAGAAGUCAAAUUGGAAUUACUUGCCAAAGCUGUCAAAGCACGGGUAAAGCUACAGUGAAAGACUUGCGCAGGAAGCUGUUAAGCCCUAUAAAAAUAAGUCACUCGCUCCCCACUUCACUCACUUGUCACCGAAUCAAUCAAAGAAUAGAAAAAGCAACUCCUUGAAGAAAGUUCUUCUUCUCUCUCCCUCUCUGUCUUAUCUUGCUCUGUUUCUCCUCUGUUUUUUUCCUCCUCUUUUCAUUAAAAUUUAAGAAAACAUACCCAUUUCAAGCAAAUGGAACACGAAGCAUUUAAGCUCACCAAGAAGCAAAACCGCCUGCCGCCGGCGAGAGGCCAAGUUCUGAAGAAAAUAUUGAACGAUUGGUUCGGAUCAGCUGGAGGAAAGAGAAGGGGAAAUGGACUUGUUAGUAGGGAUGGCAAAAAUCUCCGCUGGAUUCCAACCCGUGGGGGUCCGGCUCAUUCCGGCCCGGUUCUCGCCCUCGAAACGCUUCAAAAAAUUUUGGGUCUGAUUUUGGGGAAAAACUUGAAGCCCAUAGAAUAAUUCAGAUGGUUUCGGGGCGGGGAUCAUUUUUGAGUAAUCCAUAAAUCUGAAACUCCUAGUGGUAGGCUUAGUAGCUCAAGCGCAUCGAACCCCGCUGAAAGUCCUAAUGGCUACAAUUCAAAUGUUGCCUCUUAGUCUUCAGUCUUGAAUCUUGAUUAGGCUAUCAACUUUAACUGGGGGCUGAUCGUGGCUCAAUUUUUCUUUCUCCUUUUUUCUUUUUUGACAUUUUGUUCUUAGACUUUCUUUUUUUUUCCUUUGGCUUGUCAUUUCUUGUAAUUGAAGAUGAUUAUGGAAGGAUGGGAUUGAUGGUUAAAUAUAGGGAUUUUGGGGGAUGGAUACCCAUGUUCAGGCCUGUGCAUUAUUACUGUCUUUGUUUUUGGUUUUGUCUGUAAUGGAUAUAAUUUCUAAUUUUUCAUAGAUUUUGGCAAUUAAGCAAUUACCGUUAUUACUUUUCUUUUUCUUGCUUCUGGCUCUUCAUGCUCUGUCAGAAAUAUGGUGUGUUUUUACUUUUUAGAUUUGGAUCAAAUGGUUGUGGAAUCGAACGAUCACGCGUGGCGCCGGAGUCCGGAUUUUGGUCGAUGGGGACCUUGAUGGAAAAAUCAUUAACUAUAGUAGGUUAUAAUAUAAAACUUAUAAAAUUGGGAGACCAACAGUACAGUAGGGGUCACAAUGGAGGAUCUAUAAAACAAAGUUAUAAAAAUUAAAUACAAAUACGAGGUUCCAAAUGCAAAAUGUACAUAAAAUUGGUAAAGUUUCUUCAAUGCAGUUCUCGGAUUUUGGUACAUUUUCAAUGUUUGUGAUUUUGAUAAAGAUCAUGACUUAUUUAUCCUUAUUAAAUUUUUUUUUUUCAAUAGAAUCCUUAUUAAAUUUUUAAUUUAUGAUCAAUGGUGAUUAAUUUUGUCUUCCUUUUUAUGGGAUUGUGGUAACUUGGAUGACUAAAAGAAACAAAACAAUCCAAGCUACUGCCCAAGGAUCUGAUCAAAGAUCAAUCAAGAUGCAAACUAGAGUGUAUCUGAAUAAGAACAACGAAUUGACUUGAGCAAUCUAACAAGAAACUCAAUAAAUAAGCAAGAUUCCAACGAAAGCUAAAACAGAUCAAAGGAAAAACAGAGACACAAGCGACUACAUGGUCCAGCCACUUCUCAGUGACCUAUCUGUUGAUGCCAAAAUCCGGAUGAGUUUGUCAAAUCUCAGAUCCAUACAUCAUCAUUAAAUUUGUUUGGUGAGAAGCUGAUGAUUAGUUAGCACCAUGAGCAGACGAUCCAUGAGCAGAUAACCCAUGAGCAGACGAUCCAUGAGCAGACGAUCUAUGAGCAGACGAUCCAUGAGCAGAUAACCUAUGAGCAGACGAUCUGUGAGCCUGUGAACACAACCAAUAGUCAGGAGGUGCCGGAAGUUUUUCCGGCGAGAACCCUCCGACGCUCAAGUCAGUGAUUCGGGUCUUACUUGAAAAAACCCAUACCACAAUUCAUGUGGCUUAAUUAUGAUUGCUUGAAAUAAAACUCUUUUAAGUAAAUUUAAAGGAAAAGAAUUUGAAAUAAUCAAUCUUAAAGAAAUCACAGGCGAGAGAGAAAUUUCUCAGUGGUAGAGAGAGAAAAAUGUCCAAUGGGUUCAGUUGCUUAGAGAGAGAGAGCUCCAAGCCCCCUUUCCUUUCCUUUUCUAGGGUUUUUAUAGAAAACUAUAGCGGUUUUCAUCCACUAAGAAUAUGGUCCCUAAUAUUUCGGAGAAAAUGUUUUGACUGAAUCGUGCUUUCUGGUAACUUCCUAGUCGAGGUGACCAAUAACAUCCCGGUCGAGGUGAUGUGCUCGAGGUCACCACAUAUUAUUCUGGUCGAGGUGAUGUGCUCGAGGUCACCACAUAUUAUUCUGGUCGAGGUGAUCUGCUCGAGGUCACCACAUAUUAUUCUGGUCGAGGUGAUCUACUCGAGGUCACCACAUAUUAUUCUGGUCGAGGUGACCAACAAUAUCCUGAUCAGAGGUGAUCUGCUCGAGGUCACCACAUAUUAUUCUGGUCGAGGUGAUCUGCUCGAGGUCACCACAUAUUAUUCUGGUCGAGGUGAUCUGCUCGAGGUCACCACAUAUUAUUCUGGUCGAGGUGAUCUGCUCGAGGUCACCACAUAUUAUUCUGGUCGAGGUGACCAAUAAUAUCCUGGUCAAAGUGAUCUGCUCGAGGUGACCAAUAACAUCCUAGUCGAGGUGAUCUGCUCAACUAUUUGCUCACUUUUACUCUGGAGGAGAGCGCGAUAAUGUAUGAGCAAACACCUUUAUCUUGGUCACCCUAUUUCAUUCCCUAAACACUAUCUCUAUGGGGAAGAAAUCGAUCAGCCCCGUUGAUUAUUUCAAUGGCGAUUACAAGAAAUUGUAAAACUGUUUACAGAGAAUUGAAUACCGGUUUCUCUCUCCACAAUCACUCUCCAAAAUGCCUUUCCAGAUUGCCUAGAAAGCUGCCACGUACUUCAACAGUUAUGACAACCUUUGCUUAAGCUGCCCACCAGACUCGCUUAAUGAACCACCAGAACGCGAAAAUGCUACGCCGUUUUGAUGUUAUGGAAUCAAUUAAAAGGUCACAUGAGAAGCACAUGACUAACUUAAAACAUCAAUCAGGCUGAUACAUUGUCGUUUCACCAUUCCGGUUUUGAUUCGCAUCGAUCUCGACAAUAAUGGACUUGGAAUACAAAGUUUCAAACUUUGAGACGAUCGCCACUUUGUGCUUUUUAUUUGAAAGCAUGAGCAAAUAAACUAAGUUGUCGGUUUCGAAUUUUCUAUCCCAAAGGCGAACUAAUUGGCAAGUGUAGCUUAUUGGGUGGGGUGGCAAAACGAAUAAUCGAAUCGAAAUAUUCGGAUUUAAUUCAUUUAUUAAAUGAAUAUUCAAUUUGAUUUGUUUAAUUCGUUUAAUAGAAUUAAUAAACGAAUCCAAUCCAAUCCAAUCUAAAUUCGUUUAUUAUUCAUUUAUCAUAAUAAUAAACUAACACAUAAUGAUCGAAUUGAAUAUGAAUUCGUUUACAAAAAUUAAAUAAAUAAUACAAACCAUAAAAGUUUUCAUCUCAUCUAUAUAUUGUCUUAUUAUUAUUAUUUAUAAUUACUAGAUUAACCUUCAAAUUUUAAAAUUUUUUCAUAAAUAUUUAAAAAUAAAUAAGUAAUUUAUUAAACGAAUAGAUUGUAUUCGAUUCGUUUAUAACCCAUUUAUUUAACGAAUUCUAAACGAAUAAACAAAUUAGUGUCUUUAAAUCCAAAUCGAAUCGAAUUCACCCAUUUAUUAAAUGAAUCAAUAUUUUAAAACUCAAACUUAUUUAAUUCGCUUCAAAUCGAAUCGAAUAAAUGAAUCUUGACCCAAAUUGCCGUCCCUAUACUAUUGGGUUACCAUAUUCUUCGAAAAUGAGUCUUCAAUUCUAUUUUGGAUUCGAUGUCCAAUUAGUGUUUAUGUCAAAAAAAAGCACAAAGUAAUAAUUGAAGAAGGUAACUAAAGAUGAAAGAUUAGAAGGUCAAGUGUCCAUGACAACGUAGCAAAACAUUUUAAUUAUUUAUAUUUUAAUAAAUAGUGUAGAACCUUUGAAUCUGUAUUACGUGAUUGUGUCGUAUGCAUCAACAAGUCAUCUUUCUAGAAGACAAGUUCUUAUUUUAAUUUUUUUUAAAAUUUUUUUCAUUGGUUAGUCAAUGGAUAUACUCGUUCUACACAUGUUAUUAUGUUGUUCUUUUUGAAAUUAGUAAAAUACAUUAAAAAUGGCUUAAAAGAAUUGUCAAUACUCAACAAUACAUCACCACGAUUAUACACGAACUACAAGAUUAUACGCGAUCAAAUACAUUAUUUAAGACAAAACAUAAGACUCGAGCCUUAAUUACAAGAUGUUUGAUAACAAGGAUACAUAGUAGAGUCUUUUCAUAUUUAUUAGAACUAAAAGAAGAAUAAACAGCCCCAUUUAUUAAAGUACAAUGAGAUGGAUAAAGAUCCUCUCUUGAUCUGAGUUCUCAUGAACUUUUAAUAAUUUUGUGUCAUGUGUAUUUAAGUAAUAGUGUAUGAGUAUAAUUUUAACUUAUUCAUUUUCUUUUUUUAUUAACUAUCAAUUAUCAUGUGUAUUUUUGCUCAGGAGCAUAUCAGAUCAUGAGAGAAUGAGGAGAUGAGAUCAUGAGAGAAUUCUAAUACACAAUGAGUUAGAUGAAAAAUUUUAUACCAAUGAAUUAGUGAAUCCAUGUCAACUAUUGUAGGUGGAGAUCACAUUCCAAUAAGAAAUAAAAUAUUGUUGUUAUCGCCGUUAAAUUAUACAUUAAUUUAUCGCCUUUUAUUGUCAUCGAUAAUAAUUAAAAAAAUGCAAUGGGCUGGUCACUUUAACGGAACUAGUUCGAAUUUCAGCUGCAAAAAUAUUUAUUUAUUUAUUUUAAUUUAGGCCUUACUUCUAAUUAGUGCAUAUUUCUAACUUUUUUAGUGUGUGCGAUUAUAUGUAUAUAAAUUUUUAGCCGACUAUAAAUUACCAGAUAUAUGCAACCGGUAGCAAUUUAAGUAAAAACAAUAAUUUGAUAAUAACUUUAUACUUUUCUCGGACACACUCAUAAUUUCGAAUUUUCAAUUUUCUUUGUAAGUUGAGCUCUUGUGCCUCGGAUACAAUGGUCCCAAGACCAUGGAAUCAUUACCUCUUGAGUCUCGAGUGAUUCCGUGUUUCUUGCUGAGUAGGUAACUGAGCUCGAUAUAUACCCUUCACACCUCGCCAAUUCAGUAUAUCGCAUAUCUUAUCAUCAAACAAGCAGGCAACCGAGUCUCUCUCUCUCUCAUUUCUUGCAUAUUACAAGAGGCUCCUCUGUUUUUCUUGUUCAAUUCCUCUGUUUCUCCUCUGUUUUUCAUCAAACAUGUCUCGAUUGAAAUUGAAGUAUACCCAUUUCAAGAAAAUGGAAUACGAAGCAUAUAAGCUCAUGAAGAAGCAAAAUCUUCGCCUGCCACCAAAAAGAGGCCAAGUUUUGAAGAAGAUAUUGAAGGAAUUGUUCGGAUCAGCUGGAGGAAAGAGAAGGAGAAAUGGAGUGGGUCGUGGUGGGCUUAGCUAAAGCUCAUCAACCCCAGCUGAAACUCCUAGUGGCUACAGUUCAGAUGCGGCCUCUGAGUCAAGCUCUCAACUUUAAUUAGCGUCUAAUCACGGCUGAUUUUUGUUUUUUGUUUUUUUAAUUCAUUUUCUUUUCAUUGCUUGUGUCUGAUGACUGAUGGAAGGAAGAGAUGGGUACCCUUGUAUAGACAUGUAUAUUAUUAAUAAUCUUUUUUUUAUUUUAUUUUUUGUAAUAAUGUUUUAUACUGAGUAAAACUUCGAUUUUGUAAAGCCCUGCCUCUUCUCUGUCUGAAAAUCUGGGAAGCAAAUUCGUGUUUGAAAAAAAAAAAAUUGAGGAGAUGAGUACUGAGUUGAUUCAUUGAAUGAUAUCAUGGUUCUUACUUCUGAGAUUAUGAUACAUUUCCAUAUUUUGUGAUUCUGAUGAUGAUCAUGAUUGUAUAUUCAUUUUCUUGAUCGACGGCGAUUAUGCAUCUCCUCUGUCUUCCAUUUUUCGGCGACUCCUACACACAGUAACUUCGCUGGGCCAGUGGGUUUGAUGUUGAUGUUCAAACUUUGAAUGGCUCGUCGCUUUCUAAAACAAUCUUUUUCACUUGUCAGUUUGACGGCUUCUACCCUGAUCGUGAAAAAACAAUUGGUAACUUGAUGCAUUAUGUAAUCAGGGGCUGACCUCCCUCUGGGACUUUGAAAAAAAAAAUGCAUAAAUAUGUAAUUUUAGUUUUUAAAAUAUAAUUUUUUGUAAUCUCAUUCUGAUAAGAUUAAUAUUUUAUCGGUUUAAAAUUUUUCAACUUCAACUUCUAAAAUUUUGUUUUUAAAAGUUUUGGCCCCUCUAAAAUUUUAGUGCUAGCUUCGUCCCGUGACGUAAUUUUAUAACCUUUUUUUUGUAAAUAGUAUCCUAGUUGUUAACCCGACAACCCUGCAUAAUAUGGACCUGUCUUCGUCCUGUACCUUACAGCUACUCUUGCACAAUAAACUGAAAAGUGAGCCCAAGUGGGAUCUACGGCCAUUUUGUGAGAGUGUUGUAAGGUACAGAUUCUGUACCGUAGCAUUCUCCUUAGAUCACAUACACAUAUAUAGUCUCAUUAUAGCAACCGCAGAAAAGCUAACUCCAUGUAAAUUUCCUUCUCCAACAAGCAAAAGUAGUUCAAACUCAAUUCUUACACGUUACAAGCUGUGAGGCUAUAUGUCUAGCUAGAACCUUCUAAUCGUAACAUAAUUUGAUCGAAGGUUAGGUAAUUUUCGCAGUUUCUGAUAAUAUUAAAAAUUGUAAGUCAACGUGAAGCACUGGAAUUUAUAAUUGGCUUGCCAUCGUUAUCCAAUCUCUCUAAUUUUUUUUCCACGUGCUCUUAAGACUUCUUCACUCCUAGAGAUUUUCCUUCGCCUCCAAGAAACUUUCAAAAUGAUGACAAUUUAAGCCACCAUUAAUUCUCUCUCUAGAAUGAUAGUGUGAUACGUUUAGUUUGAGCCUCAUUUUGUGCAAACUGUUGCAACGUUAGUUUUUUUUUUUUGUUUUUUUUAGACUGAUUAAUCAUCAGAUUACUGCAUUACACAGAUAUUUACAACAACUGCUUAUUGUAGUAGAGGUAUUACACUGAUAUUUACAAUCAGAUAUACAUGAUUGGGACUUACAUUAUAUUUACAACAACUGCUUAUUGUAGCAGAGGUAUUACACUUAUAUUUACAAUCAGAUAUACAUGAUUAGGACUUACAUUAUUACAAUGAAUUCUAUGAAGUACAUGCCCAAUACAAAUAACCUCUCACAGGAGAGGAUGUUAAUACUCCACUUGCAUUUCGCAAGGGAGAAUGAUAUAAAGAACAUUUAGCCCCCACAAUGCUUUUGUGGGGGAUAGAACCACUGCCCUCACAAUGCUUGUGAGGGCAGCAGCCCACCACUUCGGCCAAGGCCGAAGUGGCGUUGCAACGUUAGUUUGUUUGUGCCUUGUAGCAUCAAAAUCAGAUCUAUUUUAGUUUGACACUAUAUACACACACAUACAAACCGGAGGAAAAAUCAAUAUGUGAGAAAGUGGAAACAUAAAAUUUACAUAGAAAGGUGUUAUCUUUUAAUUAAAGUCCUUAUUUUACAUCAUUUCAAUAACAAUAAUGAUAAUUUACGAAAUUGAGAUAUAAAGAAAAUUUAAUAAUAAUAAUAAUAUGAUCGAAGUUCUUCCAUAUAUGCACUUACUAUAAUUAGUCAUUGAAUAUUUUCAUUUCCUAUGAAUGAUAAAUAUUAUAUUAGUUGCACAUUAAUUAAGAUAUAAAUUUUAUAUUUCAACUUUAUACGUAUACCAUUACUCUCUUAAAAAUAUAGUGUGCUUACCUCACUUACAGUUUAGUUCCAUCUCUAACCUCAUUUUCCUCAAAUAUCCCUUGCUCAUCCUGUCUACUCUUUAUAACGGCCUACCUAGGUUUUAUCAACAUCAACGAACCAUAAAGAACACUCAUAAUCUAAUCUUUGCACCAGACAACUUACAAAACAAAAUUUAUUGGAUUUAAUAUGACUCAACCAAGAUUUAGUUAAAACACACGCGUUUAUGGAUUGAAUGAAGAAUAGUAGGAGAUACAUUGUUUGUAUUGUUAGUAAGAGUAUAUUUUUUGAGCUACCUUUAGUAAUUUUUAGAUCAUAUUAUGCAUGUAGAGUUGUAAGAAUUCUAAAUUGUAAUACAUUGUAGAUUUGCAACCAGUGAGAAGAAAAUUAUUAUGUUUCAUUAUUAUAUAAUAAUUUGGUUUUGCUUUCAUAAUCUUUGAAAAUAUUUAAUGCCACGGCCAUUUUAAUUAUGCAUGUCACUUAACAUCCAUCGAAUAUACCUUGAGAGAAAAAAAUAUAAUUUAAAUAUCCUUUAGAGAGAUAAUUAAGCCACUAGGCUUUAAUAUAGUAGUUAGAACCCAAACCUCAUAAUUAGGAGAUCAUGGGUUCGAGCCCCACAUUGCAUUAUGGUGGUUUAAUUUACUUCCUUAAUUUGAGUGAAGAUAAUAUUCUCCCUUUCGAAUAUUAGAGGGUAAAAAUUUGGACAGUACAGUAGACGUCCUUCGAAUAUUAGAGAGUAUAAAAAUCUAACUAGUCUUGUUAAUAAUUUGAUUUAUAAAUAUAAGUUAUAAUCUAAUGUAAUAUGAGUUGUACUCUUGAACAAUAAUCUCAUAUAUAUAUAUAAGAAUUAAUCACCAAUAACGAAGAGAACUACUGAUUCCAAAGUAUAAUCCUAACCCAUUCAAAUUAACUAAUUUGAUAUACUUUAGGAUCAAUGUUUUAUUAAAAUUCAAAAGUUAAAAGCGUGUCAAUACAGACAAUGUAUGUCCUGCUAUUCUUUGUUCAAUCCAUACAUAAACAUGUGUGUUUAAACUAAAUGUUGAUUAAAUCAUAUUAAACCCAAUAUUUUUUUUUUGUUUUGUAAGUUGUGUGGUGCAAAGACUAAAUUAUGAGUGUUCUUUAUGGUUCUCUAAUAAAACCUAGGUACGCAGUUAUAAGGAGUAGACAGGGUGAGCAAGGGACAUUUGGAUGUGGAGUCAAACUGUAAGUGAGAUAAGUGCACCACAUUUUUUAGAGAUAAAUAGUACUUAUAAAGUUGAAACAUAAAAUUUGUAUCUUAAUUAAUGUUGCCACCGAUAUAAUAUUCAUCAUUCAAAUGAGAAAUGAAAAUAUUCAAUGACUAAUUAUCAUAAGAGCAUAUAAAAUAACAUCAUAUUAUUUGGAUACAAACUUUAUAUCUCAACUUUAUAAAUUUAUCAUCAUUGUUAUUAAAACAAUAGCCAUGGCUACCUUGAAGUUGCUCUAAACUAGAUUAAGAAUCAUAACCACAUACGCAAAGUGAUAAAUAGUAAAAAAAUACAUUAUAAUCUUAAUCGUGUGAUUAUAAAAAAAGUGCUCUACCGUAGAUACAUAAUAAGGACUUUAAUUAAAAUAUAACAUCUUUUUAUGUAAAUUUUAUGUUUUCAGCUUUCUCAAAUAUUCAUCUUUCCUCCAAUAUAUAUAUAUAUAUAAUUGUCAAACUAAAAUAGAUCUGAUUUUGAUACCACAGGACACGAACAAACUAACGUUGCAACAGUUUGCACAAAAUCAGACUCGAACUGUAUAUCACUAUCAUAGCAGAGAAAGAAUUAAUAGUAGCUUAAUUUGUCAUCAUUUUAAAAGUUUAUUGGGCGGCGAAGGAAAAUCUCUAGGAGGAGUGAAGAAAUCUUAAGCCGGUAUGACCAGCAUGCGGCAAAAUUAGAGAGAUUGGAUAAUGAUGGUGAGCCAACUAUAAAUAUCAGUCCCUCCCGUUGAGUUUCAACUUUUAAUAUUUUCAGAAUCCUCGAAAGUUACCUAACCUUCAAUGCCUGCACUCAGUCGUUACAUGGGCUUAACCUUAAUUUAUUGUCGCAAAGACGAAUUUAUAUGUGUGCGCGCGCGCGUGAUUCCACAGUUUAUAUUUAUAAAUAAGUAAUAAUUUAGACACUAUUAUGUAGUGUUGCCGAGUUAACAAUUCAGAUACUACUUACCCCAAAAAAAAUAUAUAUAUAUAGAAUUGCGUCCACUAAGGAGCGAUCACUAAAAUUUUAGACGGCUAAACUUUAUAAAAAUAAUUUUUUUAGAAGUUAAAAAAAUUAAACUUAUAAAAUAAUAAAUUUAUCGGAAUGAAAUUAUGAAAAAUAAUAUUUUAAAAACUAAAAUUAUAAAUAUCUUAUGCGUAUUUAUGUAAUAUUAUAAAGUCUGAAAGGGAGAUCAGCCCACGAUUAAUUACAUCAAGUAUACAAUUACCAAAUUUUUACGCCAUCGGAGUAGAAGCCGUCAAACUGGCUAAGUUAAAAAGGUUGUUUUUAAAAAGCGACCAGCCAUUCAAAGUUUGAACAUCCACAUCAAACCCACUAACCCAGCGAAGUUAUUAUGUGUAGGAGUCGCCGAAAAAUGGAAGACAGAGGAGAUGCACAAUCACCGUUGAUCAAGAAAAUGAAUAAACAGUCAUGAUCAUCAUCAGAAUCACAAAACAUGGAAAAUGUAUCAUAAUCUGAGAAGUAAGAACCAAGAUAUCAUUCAAUGAAUCAAUUCCGUACUCAUCUCCUCAAAUUUUAUUUUAUUUAAAAAAAAAACACGAAAUUGCUUCCAAGAUUUUCAGACACAGAAUAUGUUAGAGCUUUAGAAAACCAAAGUUUUACUCGGUAUAAACAUUAUUACAAAAAUAAAAAUUAAAAAAUUUAUUAGUAAUAGACAUGUCUAAACAAGGGCACCCAUCUCUAAUUAUCAUUACAUAUCUCAACUUCGUAAAUUAUCAUUAUUGUUAUUGAAAUAAUGUAAAAUAAGGAAUUUAAUUAAAAGAUAACAUCUUAAUUUCUAUGUAAAUUUUAUGUUUCCACUUUCUCACAUAUUGAUCUAUACAGGGCACAAACUAACUAAUGUUGGAUAAUAAUGGUUAGCCAAUUAUAAAUUUCAGUCCCUCAAGUUGACUCACAAUUUUUAAUAUUAUCAGAAUCAGCGAAAAUGACAUAUCGCCUCACAGCUUGUAACGUGUAAGAAUUGAAUUUGAACUAUUUUUGCUUAUUGGAGAAGAAAAUUUACAUGGAGUUGGCUUUUCUGUGGUUGCUAUAAUAAUGCGUGUGUGUGUGUAAUCUAGAUACCUAUUAUACAGUGUUGUUGGCUUAACGACUAUGAUGCUAUUUAUAAAAAAAAAUUAAAUUAAAUUAAAUUACGUCACGGGAUGGAGUUAGGACUAAAAUUUUGGAGGGCCCAAAACUUUUUAAAAACUUUUAAAAAACAAAAUUUUGGUAGUUGAAGUUGAAAAAUUUUAAACUGAUAAAAUGUUAAUUUUAUCGGAACGAAAUUAUGAAAAAUUAUAUUUUAAAAAUUAAAAUUAUUAAUAUCUUAUACAUAUUUAUGUAAUUUUUUAUUAUUUUUAGAAAAUGAGACUGUUCCCACAAUAAGCACUGAACGGUGCGUUUAGGGUGUGGUAUAAAAUGACCCAUCUCACGUGACACACACAUACCCGCCACAACACACGCGCAAUAAAUCUCACGCGACACACAUCGUUUCUCCAUUUGCUUUCUCUACUCUCAUAGAAAUCUCACCGUUUCUCCAUCUGCUCAUCCUCUCGCUUUCUCUUGCCGUGUGCCUCUCUUUGUUCCCCGUCCUCUCGCUUUCUCUCGCAAUAGGUCUCUCGCCGUGGGUUUCUCCAUCUGCUCUCUCUCUCUCUUCUCUGUCCUCUCUAUUCUCUUGCCGUCGAUUCCCCCUCCGUUCUCACUGUCGAUUGCAUCUCUCAGCUUGCUUUAGCUUUACUCUCUCAACUUCAGUGGUCAUUAGCUGACGUAGUCGAUUUCCGUGAGUUGAUUAUGAAUUUUUGAAAAUCCAACUGAUAUUGUGAGCAAAUGAGACAGUUUUAAUUGCACUUGGAUUGAUGUGCAAAUUAGUUUAGAUAGGUUUGAUUUGUAAUUGCAUUUUCGAUAGUCUUAGGAGAUGGCCUUGUGCCGGAGAUGGCACCAUGAUCACUAUAACUGGAGCUUGUUUUAUGCCAUUAUAGUUUUGGUAAAAUACCAAUCCAGAUGAAAUUGUUGCUGUAUUUUGUCAUAAUCCAAAUCCUAAAUGAUAUAGCAGCUGCUGCUACGAGCUUCCGUUAUUUGAUAAAUUUAUGGGAUUGCCCUUGAUGACAUUAAAAACCUAACAACUGAUUCUAUAAUCUGAGAAUGAAACAUAUUUGCAGCGUGUUCUAUAAUGUGCAAGGCUUAUUCUGAUGAUAAUCUUAAAAGGAAACUUAUUUGAAUAGAACAUGUUGUGAAUAUGAACAAGCAAAAUGGCUUGGGAGAAUUAGCUGCUGAGAUUUCUAGCUUGAGUGAGGAGUGGAUUUGGUGUGAAUGAGAGUGAGAGUGAUGGAGAAUGCGUGUGUGAGAUCUAAUGCGUGUGUGAGAUUUAAUGCGUGUGUGAGAUCUAAUGCGCGUGUAUUGUGUUUGUGUGUUCAAAUAGUAGCCUUUUAUAUUGCACACAAAACGCACCGUUCGGUGCUUAUUGGGGGCUGAAUAUGGGUAAUUUUUAAAAAGAAUUAUUAGCUAUUUUACACUUUUUAAAUUAUUGAUAUUUUCUUAAAGUUCCUAUAAAAAAGUUAAAAUUAAAAAAUUAAAAAAUCCUCUUUAAAUUAUUGAUAUUUCCUUAAAAUUCCUACAAGAAAGAUAAAAUUAAAAAUUUAAAAAUGAAAUAGUCAUAAUCUUUACCUAUGAUAUUGUAAAUUUUUAGAAUUGACAAGGAUAAAAUUGUCAAAAAAUAGGGUUUGUGCUUUUUGCACCAAUAAUUUUGGUUUUUUUUUAGUUAUUUUCGUUUACAAACUAUUGUUAAGGGUAAUAUUGUCUUUGCAUGGUUAACUAACGGUCAAUGUUAAACUUAACUGACGGUAGGAGGUUUUUUACAAAUAAAUCAAUUCUCGCCAUCUACUUGCAACAAGCCCAUACCUCAGGGGAGGUUUUAAAAAAUUAUCCGGCUGAAUAUCGGUGCUGAUUAAUUUUUUCGAAGUCUCAGACUCAGAGGGAGAUCAGCCCCUGAUUACAUAAUGCAUCCAAUUACCAAUUUUUUUCGCGAUCAGAGUAGAAGCCGUCAAACUGAUAAGUUAAAAAGGUUGCUUUAGAAAGCGACGAGCCAUUCAAAGUUUGAACAUCAACAUCAAACCCACUAACCCAGCGAAGUUAUUGUGUGUAGGAGUCGGCCGAAAAAUGGAAGACAGAGGAGAUGCAUAAUCGCCGUCGAUCAAGAAAAUGAAUAUACAAUCAUGAUCAUCAUCAGAAUCACAAAAUAUGGAAAUGUAUCAUAAUCUCAGAAGUAAGAACCAUAAUGUCAUUCAAUGAAUCAAUUCAGUACUCAUCUCCUCAAUUUUUUUUUUAAAUUUUUAAAAAACACGAAAUUGCUUCCCAGAUUUUCAGACACAGAAGAUGCAGGGCCUUGCAAAAUCAAAGUUUUACUCAGUAUCAAACAUUAUUACAAAAAAUAAAAUAAAAAAAGAUUAUUAAUAACAUACAUGUCUAGACAACAAGGGUACCAUCUCGGCCUAGUGCCUUCCAUCAGUCAUCAGACACAAGCAAUGAAAAGAAAAUGAAUUAAAAACAAAAAAAAAAAAAAAAAUCAGCCGUGAUUAGACGCUAAUUAAAGUUGAGAGCUUGAUCAAGAAUCAAGACUCAGAGGCCGCAUCUGAACUGUAGCCACUAGGAGUUUCAGCUGGGGUUGAUGAGCUUGAGCUAAGCCCACCACCACCACCAAGUCCAUUUCUCCUUCUCUUUCCUCCAGCUGAUCCGAGCAAAUCCUUCAAUAUUUUCUUCAAAACUUGGCCUCUUUUUGGUGGCAGGCGAAGGUUUUGGUUCUUCGUGAGCUUAUAUGCUUCGUACUCCAUUUUCUUGAAAUGGGUAUACUUCAAUUUCAAUUCGAGAGAUGUUUGAUGAUAAGUGAUUUGCGAUAUACUGAAUUGGCGAGAAGGGAAGAUUUAUAGCGAACUCAGUUACUUACUUGCUAAGUAUUUUGCAAUGCAGAUUUGAGUGAGUGGUAGUAGUACCACUGAAUCAUUGACUCAAGACUCAAAGAGGUAAUGAUUCCAUGGUCUUGGGACCAUUGUAUCCGAGGUACAAGAGCUUAACUUACAAAAAAAGAAAAUUGAAACUUGA
rnacentral:lncRNA from 1 species